rnacentral:rRNA from 1 species
ACUGCUCAGUAACACGUGGAUAACCUGCCCUGCGGUGGGAAGUAACCCCGGGAAACUGGGGAUAAUGUCCCAUAGGCUACGGAUGCUGGAAUGCUCUGUAGCUCAAAGAUUUAUCGCCACAGGAUGGGUCUGCGGCCGAUUAGGUAGUUGUUGGGGUAACGGCCCAACAAGCCUUUGAUCGGUAUGGGUUGUGGGAGCAAGAGCCCGGAGAUGGAUUCUGAGACACGAAUCCAGGCCCUACGGGGCGCAGCAGGCGCGAAAACUUUACAAUGCGGGAAACCGUGAUAAGGGAACUCCGAGUGUCCGUCAAUGCGGACUGUCCGUAUGUUUAAAAAGCAUGCGAAGAAAGGGCCGGGCAAGACCGGUGCCAGCCGCCGCGGUAAUACCGGCGGCUCGAGUGGUGGCCACUAUUACUGGGCUUAAAGCGUUCGUAGCUGGGUUGUUAAGUCUCUUGGGAAAUCUAUCGGCUUAACCGAUAGGCGUCCAAGGGAUACUGGCAAUCUAGGGACCGGGAGAGGUGAGGGGUACUUCAGGGGUAGGAGUGAAAUCCUGUAAUCCUUGGGGGACCACCUGUGGCGUAGGCGCCUCACCAGAACGGCUCCGACAGUGAGGGACGAAAGCUGGGGGAGCAAACCGGAUUAGAUACCCGGGUAGUCCCAGCCGUAAACGAUGCGCGUUAGGUGUAUCGAUGACCACGAGUCAUCGAGGUGCCGAAGGGAAACCGUGAAACGCGCCGCCUGGGAAGUACGGUCGCAAGGCUGAAACUUAAAGGAAUUGGCGGGGGAGCAC